CUGUUGACGUGUGUAUCAGCGUCUCUCCUCAGAGGGACGCUCCCCGUCUUUAAAGUCUGUCUGUAACGUGAUGUCCUCCUCUGUGUCCGUCUCCAGCUGCUGCCGUACCUGCAGGCCAACCUGACGGGCUUCAUGGAUCUGGAGAUCAUGAACUUCAGGAAGGGCAGCGUGGUCGUGAACAGCAAGAUGAAGUUCGCCAAGAAGGUGCCGUACAACAUCACUGAGGCGGUCCACUGCGUCCUGGAGGAGUUCUGCUCCGCCGCCAAAAACCUGCAGAUCCAGAUCGACACGCACUCUCUGGAUAUCGAACCAGCCGAUCAGGCCGAUCCCUGUAAGUUCCUGGCCUGCGACGAGUUCUCCCGCUGCACGGUGAACCGCCGGACAAAGGAGGCGCAGUGCGUGUGUCAGCCGGGCUUCCUGUCGGUGGACGGCCUGCCCUGUCAGAGCGUGUGCGCCAUCCAGCCCGACUACUGCAGAGGAGGGGAGUGUCACAUCGUGCCUGGACAUGGAGCGGUGUGCAGAUACAAAGACAGCUUCUCCCUCCCAGGCCUGGCCAGUUAAGACCAAACAUCGCAUUGGACGCCGCCUGAGAAUACUACAAAAGACACGGAGCUGAACUGUGACUAAUUGAACCCCCCAAAGGAUGCAGGAGGACCGAGUGUUACUGGAGCUGAAAUCAGCAGGAUCUGUCCCAAGUCCUCGCCUCCCCUCAGUGCGGACUCGAUGAACCAGGACUCAGCAGCAGGAACUCAAGACCCCCGGAGGCCUCGCAGUUAUAAACCCCAAACUGAUGCUGAGCCGAAGAGGCUUCAGGACAAACUGUCGGCCUCUAAACCUCCUCAGAGCUCCGAGCUCUGAUCAAAGGACCACCUCCCAGCAGGGGGGAACAGACAUUUAGGACUCUUUGAAACCCGUCAGACCACCCGGUCUGCCGCCGUGAGCCACACCACGACAAAGAGGAGCUCAGCAGACGACCCUGCAGCAUCCAUCGGGGGAUCAUGAUCGACCCUGGACUGUUUUUGUAUUCGUCUGCUGACUCUGUGUUUCUGUAGUGAGUAGAUGAUUCUCUUUCAAACUCUCAGGAUCUCACGCGGGAGGAUUUCAGAGGUGGAAACAAAAAAAGGAAACUGGCGUUAUGAA